rnacentral:rRNA from 1 species
GACGAACGCUGGCGGCGUGCUUAACACAUGCAAGUCGAGCGGUAAGGCCCUUUCGGGGGUACACGAGCGGCGAACGGGUGAGUAACACGUGAGUAAUCUGCCCUUCACUUCGGGAUAACCGCCGGAAACGGUGGCUAAUACCGGAUACGACACAGUUUCGCAUGAUGUCUGUGUGGAAAGUUUUUUCGUUGGGGGAUGUGGUCGCGGCCUAUCAGCGUGUUGGUGCGAUAAUGGCUCACCAAGGCUUCGACGGUUAGCCAGCCUGAGAGGGUGACCGGCCACAAUGGGACUGAGACACGGCCCAGACUCCUACGGGAGGCAGCAGUGGGGAAUAUUGGACAAUGGGCGAAAGCCUGAUCCAGCAACGCCGCGUGAGGGAUGACGGCCUUCGGGUUGUAAACCUCUUUCAGCAGGGAAGAAGCGAAAGUGACGGUACCUGCAGAAGAAGCACCGGCUAACUACGUGCCAGCAGCCGCAGUAAGAC